UCUAGUCUGGCACGGUGAAGAGACAUGAGAGGUGUAGAAUAAGUGGGAGGCCCCCAGCGCCCCCCGUCCCCGCGAGGGGGCGGGGCGGGGUCCGCCGGCUUUGCGGGCUGACGGUGAAAUACCACUACUCUGAUAGUUUUUUCACUGACCGGGUGAGGCGGUGGGGGGCGGCGAGCGCCCAGGGGCUCUCGUAAAUGGUGCUGGGAAAACUGGCUAGCCAUAUGUAGA
rnacentral:ncRNA from 1 species